UGGGGAAUUUUGUACAAUGGGGGAAACCCUGAUCCAGCCAUCCCGCGUGUGCGAUGAGGGCCUUCGGGUUGUAAAGCACUUUUGGCAGCAAAGAAACGUCAUGGGUUAAUACCCCGGGAAACUGACGGUACCUGCAGAAUAAGCACCGGCUAACUACGUGCCAGCAGCCGCGGUUAUACGUAGGUUGCAAGCGUUAAUCGGAAUUACUGGGCGUAAAGCGUGCGCUGGCGGUUCGGAAAGCAAGAUGUGAAAUCCCAGAGCUCAACUUUGGAACUGCAUUUUUAACUACCAGGCUGGAGUGUGUCAGAGGGAGGUGGAAGUCCGCGUGUAGCAGUGAGAUGAGUAGAUAUGCGGAGGAACACCGAUGGCGAAGGCAGCCUCCUGGGAUAAAACUGACGCUAAUGCAAGAAAGCGUGAGGAGCAAACAGG
rnacentral:rRNA from 1 species